AUACGGAGGAUCCGAGCGUUAUCCGGAUUUAUUGGGUUUAAAGGGUGCGUAGGUGGUUUGAUAAGUCAGCGGUGAAAGUUUGCAGCUUAACUGUAAAAAUGCCGUUGAAACUGUCGGACUUGGGUGUAAAUGAGGUAGGCGGAAUGCGUGGUGUAGCGGUGAAAUGCAUAGAUAUCACGCAGAACUCCGAUUGCGAAGGCAGCUUACUAAGCUACAACUGACACUGAAGCACGAAAGCGUGGGGAUCAAACAGGAUUAGAUACCCUGGUAGUCCACGCAGUAAACGAUGAUUACUAGCUGUUUGCGAUACACAGUAAGCGGCACAGCGAAAGCGUUAAGUAAUCCACCUGGGGAGUACGCCGGCAACGGUGAAACUCAAAGGAAUUGACGGGG
rnacentral:rRNA from 1 species